rnacentral:misc_RNA from 1 species
UUAACGAGACAUCAUAACGUCCGCGAGGCGAGGGGAGGCACACACACAACGCGCAUCAAGCGUGCCAGACCUCAUUCUUUCUUCCACCCCCCUCCCUCCUCCUUCUCCAUCCACCUCCCUGUCUCCGCUCGGCCCCUCUUGCCUUCCGUCCUCCCCACCACCCCUCUAUACCCCUUUGGCGGCCCGCCGCGCAACAGUGCCCGUCUGCCAGCCUGUGUCAGGGGAGGGUGCAGCACCGUGCUCCCACUUCUCCGACCUCAGCCCCGCCCCACAUACAGCCCUUCGCGAUGCGUGGCGCACACGUGCGCACGUGUGCGCGCCUCACAGCGCUGGUGGGUGUCGCCGCCCUCUUCCUUCUCGCCACCCAAGGGCCUGUGGCAGCCGCUGUCGGUUUAACGACCGAUCCGGUGCAGCCGCUGCUCGACGUCCCAUUCUUCGCUACCGGCACGGACCUGAGUAUGGGCAGCAGACUGUUCGCCUCCUCGGAUGCGCGCUGCACCAAGAGUGUCACGACUGCGUGCUCAGUGAAGAGCGAGGUGAGCGGCAGCAGCUUCAGGAAUGGGACAUGCGUCUUCACGGUGAGCAGUGCGGCGCUGGGGGUGACGCUGGACACCCCUCGGACCUCGGUGCCACUUGCCCACUGGUGCGUCGGGAGCCCCGGCUCCGCGCAGCGGGUGGCCACGCUGCAGAUGCACAAGAUGGAGGUGACGCCCGAAUACGUCCUCAACGGCGAAGAAUCCGCUCUGAACUUUGGCAGCGCUGUGCCGGUGGGAACCACGCUGGGAUUUUACGCUGACAGCCAAUGCCAGCUUCUGCUCACGGGAGCCGGUCCGUUUGUGAUAACCAACGAGCGCACGGUGAGGUUUACGAUAAUGCCUUCCUCGUCCCCCCUUUUCAUGUGCGCCUCCACCAUCACUGUGAACGGAUCCGAAACCUCGACGAAGCUGGUCAAUGCAGUGGCACUUGCAACACCCUACACGGUCGAUCCCACCACGGGCGUGCGCCACCAAACCGUCGUCGUCUCGAGCUCGACACAGCCCUACGCACAGUUUUACCUCUCCACGAUGGCACACUGCACGGACUCGCAUCCAGCAUACCAAAGCACGACUGCCAGCGAAAUGGCUAUGAAAGUCAGCGUGUCUCGUGGCGCGUACUUCUUCUGCGGCUCACGCGAUAUUGGUGAAAACGGACUUUACAUCCCCGCCAGCAACACGUUCACCGUCUUGGAGUACGACGUGGUGCCGCACACGCUGUACGUGGACAAGGCGACCGUCAUGUCCUUCGCCCUCGACGCGGCUCCGCUGCAGAGUAAGCUCGAAGCCGUCCUCUCCACCUCCGAUAACUGCAGCGCCGCCAGCAGCUGGCAGGGCAGCUGGAGCAGCACGAUGCGGUGGACAGCAAAUCAGUUGGGUGUCUACUACGCCUGCGUUCGCAGGAAGCACGCCGCCGCCACCGCCGGCUACGCGAACAUCAUCAUCGCGACAAAUCUGCCCACCACCACCUUCUCCCCCGCAGCCCCCGUCCGCGGCGUAUCCAUGCGCGCCACCCUCACCCACGUCAAUGCGACCAACGUCUUCUUCGUGGUCGGACUUUUCGACUCGCAAGAUUGCACAACGCUGCUCGUGCAGGGCAUCGCCAGCCCGUCCACCAGCGCCACCGCCAGCCUCGCGGUGCCGCUCAGCGCCCGAGAUACGCUGUACUUGUGUGUGUCGAACCCGCUGGAAGCCGAGCCCACCGCGCAGGACGUAUCCGUGCGCUUCCACAAGCUGCAUGCGCUCACCCCGCAGCCGUUUGCACUGGAGUACGCCCCGCUGCGCGUCGGCGCGCUGUCGACCAUCACGCUGGACGGCACGGUGUUCCUGGCCAAGGGCACGACGGUGGCGCUGGUCCGCGCAGACGCCCGCAAGGAACAGUGCGGCGCCACCGACAUCCCGACGUUCAAUGUCUUCGGCGCCGCGUUCGCGCUAGGCCCCGUCACCUUCCCCGAGGCCGGCGACUGGGACGUGUGCGUGCGCGAGCCCGGCGCCAGCUACGUCGCCGUGCACCGCGUCACCGUGUACGGCAAGGCGACCGUGGAGCCACCGGGCAUCGUCGCCGGCGUCGAGGGUACCAUCGCCGUGAGCGGCCUCCCCCCCAACGCUGUCGUGUUCGUCACGAGCGCCGCUGAGUGCGGCAAUGAAGCAGCUGUUCUGGGCAGAGCCACCGCCAGCGGCGAGGGCGCCGCCAAAAUCACGCUCAUGUAUGACAGUGUUGGCACGCUGCUGCUGUGCUCCUACUACCCGGCCACGGCGCCGCAGCCGGUGUUGCAGGCCGCGGGGAACGUGCGCACCGCCAACCCGCGCGUCGCGCCGGCAGUCGUGGCGCUCACGGCGCAGAAAGACAACCCGCAGGUGCUUCGCUUCGUGGCGCCUGGCGCGGCAGUGCUGAAGGGCCACGCCGCCUACCUGCUGCCCGGUGAGUCAGCGUGCCCCAGCGGCUCUCACGUUCCAGGCGCCGCCACCGCGCUGCCCGCGCUGCAGGUCGCCGCCGGCAGCGACACGCCGCACGCGACCCUCGAGCUCCGCGCCGCCAUGGUCGGCACGCGCUACCUCGCCUGCGUUAACACCAACGGCCGCUUCGUCGCCGCCGGCAACGUCACCGUGGUGUUGUCCGCGCCACGGCUCGAGUCCGAUCCCGCGCCGCUCGCCGCCGGGCUGCCCGCCAGCAUCCGUCUCCCCAGCACCUACACAAGCGCCGCGCAGGUGGACACCUACGCCAUCGUCCGCGGCGACGCCGACUGCACCGCCGAUCUCAGCACGCUCUCCGUGCUCGCCCGCGGCACCAUCGACUCUCGCACCGGCGCCGCCACGCCCUUCCUCGUGCCACGAGACGCCGCGUCGCCGGCCGUCUGCGCGUAUGCGUUGCGCCGCGGUACAGCCUCCUCGACGGCGCCGGCGGCAUCGGCUACGCCGCAGCCGGCGAGCUCGACGUGGCCGCCUUCGCACCGCUCAGCGCCUACGCGCAGCUCGGGCGGCCCGCCAGCAGCGUCGCCGGCCGGCCCGUGCACACCGCCGCCGCACAGUACCUUGUGCGCUGCGGGACAGCCCCGGACGACUGCAGGGCCAGCACCGCGUGCGUGGUAGUCAGCAAGCGUUACAGCGUCGGCGGCGCCACGCUGGGCGACCUGGACGCGCCGCGCGGCAACUACCUGCUGUGCCAGAGCGUCACCGUUGACGGCGUCACAGGCACCGUUGCAGCCGACGCCAUCGUGAGCGUCGUGGAUGCCUUCGUCAUGUCCGUAGACGCCGACCUCGCGCAGAUACGCGCCUACGUGCCCUUCGGCGCCACCAUCACAGGCGGCCCCAUGGGUACCUCCUUCUACUCAGUUGCCGUGCAGCCCGCUACCGUGCCCUGCAGCGUUGCGGUCAGCGAGUCACAGACCUUCGUCUCGAGCGAGAGCUUCGUCAUCAUCAACAUCAGUGCCACCGAGCCGCAGACGGACGUCCACUUCUGCGUCGGACCCACCACCACGAGCAGCCGCACCGAGGUGACGCGCGCCACGCUGCACCACUACAUGAGCCCGGCCUGCAUCUUCGCUGACACGCCCACCACCAUCACCCUGCCCACGCGCAGCGCAGGCACCUCCGCGCUUCUCUCGUCCUCACGCAGCGCCCCCGUCGCCGUUAAGGGCGGGGAGAAGAAGCCCUUGAGCGGCAGCCGGGUCAGCUUCACCAUCGACGGCUGCGGCGACAACGAGGCCGUCACGGAGCUCUUCUACCACGAGUUCAACGACGGCUGGUCGGUGGUACGCGGGCGCAUGCUGCUGAUACGCAACGGCACCUGCAAAGGCGGCGCGAGUCCGCCCAGCAUCCGCACCGUGUACGCAGCGCCGAGCGCGCCCAUCAGCGACGCUGGCGUCGACACGCGGUUCCUGGCCGUAUCCGGCGUCGGCAUCAGCUCCGGAGACAUGUCGCUGCCGGGCAUCGGCGUCCUGGCCACGGGCUACGUGCCGGCCGUGGACGAGGAUGCCGCCUUCCACGUGUGGGCGCACCCCAUCGGCAACCCGGACUCCCUCUUCACAACCGCCGCGGCAACGCUGCGGGUGCGCAACUGGGUUGUCACGCCGACACACGCGCUCAGCCGCUACAACGCCACCAUUGGCGCGGCGCCGCUCACGCUGCUGCACAUCAGCGACGCGACACCGUCGGAGGGCACCUUCUUCAGCCAGUCGCUGCGCUGUGACGGCAGCCUCGGCGACGCCGCGGACAUGGGCACGCCGACGCAGGCCGCCGUCUACAGCGCCACGGGCGUGAGCGGGCAGGUGUAUGUGUGCACUCUUCACCCGCAGACCGGCGCGCCGCUGGCCGUGGCGAAGUUCACGUCGCUGCUGCUGCCGCAGGUGCUGCACGCGUCGCCCGCCGUCGUGCGGGGCGCCAUCUACGCCGCCACGCUGCAGACCGAGGGCUACGCGCUGCAGAAGACCAGCACGUUCCUCUCCAGCAACCUCUGCGCCGGGCCGUUGCCGCUGCAGUCGAAUGCGGUGUCGACGGCCAGCGUCCUAUGGGUGUCCUUCCUCGCGGAAAGCAUUGCACAGGACGUCAAGAGUGUGAGCUUGUGCGUGUUGACGCCGGCCGGCACCGGCGUCGCAAUCGCCAACGUGCCGGUGGCGCCCGGCACCAUGUGGCCCACGCAAUUCGCGGUCGGCACCGCCGCCGCCACCAUCUUCGUGCCGUUGUCGCCGCACACCACCUUCCAGCUGAGCGCCACCGCCACCACCUGCAUCGACGUCGGCGGCAUGCCCACCUUCACCACCGACGCCGACGGCUACGCCGCGCUAUCGCUGCUGCGCGCCAGCGGCGACGCCCUGCCGCUGGGCCGCUACGCCGUGUGCGCUGUCCCGCCCAUGCGGGCGGCGGUGGCGGCAGCGUCGCCGCUCGAGACCAUCGAGGUGGUGCCGGCGGCGCACUUCAGCGUGCACGGCACCGUCUUCGUUGUCGGCGUGCCCAGUCGCAUGGAACUGCAGCAGGACCUGCGCGCCGCCGACCUCAUCGCCGGCUUCAGCACAACCGCCGCCUGUAGCCCCGUCACCACCGACCACGGCACCUGGGCAGCGCUGUCUAGCACCGCGAUCGAGGUGCGCGCGACAGUGGCGAGGAGAAGUGGCGUGUUCCUGUGCGCACAGGUGCCCGGGAACGGCUCCGUCGUCGCGCUGCCGCACGCGCUGGCGUCGCCGAGCCGCAUCGAGUUCCUGCAGCUGGCCAUGAAACUGCCGGACGGCAGCUGGGACACGUGCACCGACUACUUGGUGGACCAGUGCCGCCCGCCCGGCAGCGCUGGCAGCGCGGCGGCGGACAUGCUAACCGUGGUGCACGGCGACUGCUGCAGCUACGCGGCGCAGGCGCAGGCCGUGGGCAGCGCCAGCAUGGCCAGCGGCACGUGCCGGCUGCGGCUGGACGCGGCAAAGGUGGCGGCGUACGCCGUCGGCACGAACUUCAGCGUGUGCGCCUGGAACCCCGAGAACAGCUCCACCUGCGCGACGCUGCACAGGGUGACAGUGACUAGGAACUGCAAGCCGACCAACGUCGGCCGUGGCUCCAGGCUGAGCAGCGGCGCGGUGGCCGGCAUCGCGGUGGGGUGCAUGGUAUGUGGUGCCGCGCUACUGGCGCUCGUCAUGUGGCUCCUGUGGUGCCAGCGCUAUGCGUGCGCGAAGAGCAGCAGCGCGCAGAGCGACGAGGAGAGGCCUUCCUUUAGUGAACUGACCGAAACAGAGAGUGCCAGGGAGGAACGGCAGCGGCAUGAGCUGCUGUGGAAGCUCCUUGAGAACACGGCAAAGGAUGUGAUGCUCUCGGCACAGGGCGGCGGCAAAGAAGUGGCGCCAGCGAAGGGGCACACGGCCACAUCGCCGCUGCCGAGCUCGAUGAGGAGGACCCGGGACAUGGAGGUGCUUCAGGAUGGGACGCCAAACUGCAUGGACGGGUGGCCGGACGUCAUCAGCAAGUAUUACAGCUUCCUGGACGGCUCCGACUUCGACUACGAGACGGUGUCGCAAAUCCCUGGCGAGGGCGAGCCCAGCGGAAUGGACGAGGAGCUCGAGGCAAUGCUGGCCGUGCCGCGCGCGAGUGCUCUGUCGGAGGAGCUCGAGGCGAAGCGGCAGGCGGAGUUGCGCGCCGUGGCGGACCGAAACGCGAAGUUGUUGGCGCUGUGGGAAGAGAGGCACCGUAUGAAGGAGGAGGACCCCAUCAAGCUGAAGAUGGUUGUCCUGCAGGAACGGGAGGAGUGGGCGAGGACGGCGUUGGAGGGCCGCCGCCGUCGCGCACACUACAACCUCACGGUGCUGUUCAAAUCCAGCCUGGAUUACUGCAACGCGCUGUCGAAGAAGAGGCGCAGCGAGCGGUCAGAGUUGCCGUCCGAUGAAAGCGAGCUGCUGUCAGUGGGGUCGUGGGACGUGGCGCCGCUGGAACCGCUAGACUAUAGGUUUGGCAGCUGCGUGGGCGCUCCAUUUGUGUCAACAGAGUUCUCUGCCUCCGUCUUCUCUCUCACUGCGGGCUGUGAGCGCAGCGUCGGCGUCAGCUCCGCCCUCCGGCGGCCGCAACCUCCCCCGACAGAGACGCAGCCUUUCGCUUGUUUGCGCGUUGACCUGUAUCGCAGGCGGCGCUUCCUGGAGUUUCCGUUCGUGACCAACUCGCCCGAGACGCUCAUCGCGUACGACAAGAACGUUCCCGUGCCUGUAUUCGUGCGGGGUCUGACGUUGAUAGACCUUCAGGCCUUCCACCCAGCGCAUCGCUGGCUUGUCGACCCGCCCAAGCCCUCCGGCAGCGCCGACCACUUGCACGACAAGAAGGGAACGUGGGCGUUCAUGGCGCCCGACUCCACGGUUCCCUUUGUGCGCCGCUACUUGAUACUGUUCAAGAAGGAGUUUGGUGCUCGGGAAAGGAUAUUGGAGGCAGACGCGGCUUUCUGGUCGCACCUGUUCUGGGAGAAGCGGAAUGUGCCAGUCUUCUCCGCCAUGGAGGAGGUGGAACCGGUGUACGACUCCGACAGCUCUCGCUCCUUCUGCGCCUCCUCUCUCGAGCACCGCAAUCUCAGCAGCUGCGAGAGCGACAGCGAUCACGGCGGCGUCGCGAACCACGGUAAGCGGCACCUGCAGCCAGCCGAAGACUUGUGGGCGAAGGAGCAGGCGGCGCCCGAGUCCAUUGUGGAGCAGCGCCGCGUGGAGCAGGAGUUGGCGGCCCUGACCGUAGCCAAAGACAUGAGCAAGGAAGAAAAGAAGAAAAUUGCAGCCGCGCAGACGGCCUUUCGGGCGGCGCAAUCAGCAGAGAGGAAAGCCCGUGUCGCGCAGAAGAAGGCGGAGGUGGCACGUCGGAAGGCAGAGGCGGCGAGCCAGGAUGCCAAGACUGCCAAAGCAGGCUUCGAGAGUCGGAGCCUGUCGAGGACGCGGCAGACCAGCUCGACCACGGUCGAGGAGUUGAUGGGGCAGGAGUUGCAGCACAUUGAGGAGCUCCGGCGGCUAGGGCUGCUGUAGGCGCGGAGUCUGUGGACAGCAAUGGCAAGAAGGCUGCCACGGCAGUCAAACUUCAGGUAGCUGUCAUCGGCGACGGUGACGUGAAAGCCGACUCUUGUGAUGUCUCCAUCCGCAAACCUCGUGCACCUCCACCCCUCCUUUGCGUUCACGCAGGUGUCCUGUCUUCCCCAGGGGUUGUGUGCCGUGCAAGUCGGCCUCCUCCUCCUCCAACUGCCUGCCUCUACCCUUUCCUUCUCGUAUUUGUUUUUGCUCCCGCGCACUAGCGCCGCCCUUUCGAUCAUGAUGCGGUGUCAUGUUCUCGUGCGUGUGCGUGUGCGUGUGCGUUCAGUCGUGUCCUGACCUGGUGCUCUCUGUGAUUCGUUUAUUUGGUUGGUUGGUCGGUUGGUUGAUUAUGUGAUGCGCGCUGCGUCUCCUUUACUGGUCUCGUGCAUGCGUACCUGCGUGUGUUUUGUGUUCGCUGCUCACUGCGUUUUGCUGUCCUGUUUCGCUUCUCUUGGAUGUCCCCCUCACCCAUGCGCGCCCUGACGCACGAGAGCGCUCGCUCUUCUUGUUUGGUCGCUGUUUUGUAUGUUUCUGUUCCGUCUCUCACGUCCAUCCUGCACACCUCGUGCUUCCCCUCCUCAUCAUCCGCUACUACGGUUUUGCGCGUCUGUCUGUCUCUCGUCCUCUCCUCUCCGAGUCACACCUGCGAGACAGCGCCGACCCACUCCGCAUCCUUUUUUUCCUUUCUUUGCUGCUGUGUGACGAGUCCGUCUGCUGAUGCCACGUGUGAGACGACGCCAAGGCUAGAAGUACGCGCUCCUGUUAUCUCGUGCGCACAGGCACGCACCUCAUCACACGCUCUGCCCUUCUGCAGAACUCUACCUCACCUCUCCCUCCGUCACGCGUCACGCGUUCGAGCCCCGUUCGCAGACGCUGGUAGGAUAGGGAGGGGAGUCGAUGCCGCAGCAGCCCACCACCACCACCACCUACAAAAGCGGUAAAGCACGUUGUGGACGCCUGGCGCUUGCUAUUCAUUGCCAUCGUACCGCCCUCGUAUGGCUCAUGUACGUGUCCUUGUAUGUGUGUGUGUGUGUGUGUCUGUGUGUGUCUGUGCGCCUGUUGUAUUCUUCAGAUUGCUAUUCUUGUUCGGUCACUUACGCUUCAUUCUUCUUGCCUCCGCCGCCGCUGCUGCUGCUGUUGCUUGUUUGAAUGGUGCCUAGUCGGCGCUCGAUGUCUGUCUGUUUGCCUGCGCGUGCUGGCGUGCAUGAUCUCUUUCUCUCUCUGAUGACCUCUUCUUAGUUUUUCCCUUCCUCACGCGGCACUCGACACUCCCUUUAUUUUUGUUUUCACUCUCAGUCUGGCUGUUGUGCACCUCCUCAUCACUCCUCCUCUCCCUAUCGGUUUGCUUUCAGUGCUUCUUUCUUGUCUGUAUGUGUCAACGUGCCCGUGAGUGUGUGUAUCCGUUCUUUUCUCCAGUUUUCAUUUUGCGGGCCACCCUCCCAUCCACCCAUCCAUCCGCAGGGCCCACUCGCACACCCCCCCCCUCCCUUCCCACGUCAUCUCUUCUCGUUUUCUUUUUGCCCCCGCCGCUGCUUGCUUCCUCCGCCCUUCUUCGCCCUCCUCUGCCGUCGUCUUCUCGGCUUGGUGGCUCUCCUUGUUUUUGUUGUUCAUCCUCGUCUUCCCUGCCAUGCUGCGUGGGCGCGUCGCCACAUAAAGGCAGUGUCGCGAAGGCCACACUUAUCUGCUCGCAUGAUAUGACCGGCAAGGGCACAGGGAUGCGGAGGAGCUGGGCAGAGCGCCGCAGCACCUUGAAUCCCUCCCUUGCUAGACCAGCAUCAACGCCAUACCCAGCUGCUUGCGUGAGCUCCGUCACUCUUCUUCUAUUCUGUCUGUUGAUUCUCUUCGCAUCGUUCGUUGUUGCUGUUGUUGUCAGGCAUUGAAUGUCCGCUUUCGGUUUGAAUCACGCGCGCGCAUCCGUUUCUCUCUCUCUCUCUGUGUGUGUGUGUCGGAGGAGGAGGAGGUCGGGGCUGACGGUGUGCGCGUGUGGAGAGGGUGGACGGAGAGUGAGAUGGGCUUCAUGUUUUGUGUCACAUUCGUUGAUGUUGUUUCUUUGCCCACAUUCUACUGUUAGCUCAUCCAAUUACUUUCUCCCGACGCGCCUCUCUCGCACACGCUCGCGCACAUGUGCAUGCGAGGAGGCCUGCUGAUGACCGGCGUUUCUGUUUUCUUGUUUUGUUCUAUCUUGAUCACGUGCUUUCCUCUCUGUUCCUGCUUCAUUCGUUCUUUUCUGGAAUGCCUUCUCUCUAUCGCUGCCCCACCUCACCCCCACUCCCACUCCUCUCCAUCGAUUCCAGCGACGUCACAUCUUGUGUAGAUACGCAAGCGUUUACGCGCGCCUACGCGAAGGUGGCUGUACCCCUGUUGGUGGUCGUGGUGGCGGGGAGGAGGGGGUGGAGGGUGUGCGCCUCUUCCCGUUUUCUGUUCCCUUUUUGCCGUGGAUGUUGCCGGCCCUUUUCACUCAUUUUACCCGUUGCCUUUUUCUCUUGUGCUGUGCUGCUGCCUGCAGCAGCUAUGUGGGGGUAUGUGGCGGCGGCGGCAGCGGGGAUUUUGCAGUUGGGUGCGCGCAGGUUCAUGCAUCCGCCCUCCCUCGUGAUAGCCCUUCUUAGUCGUUUUUACAACCUCCUCCCCCUCUCUGCCCCCCCCCUUAUUGUCUGCCUCUCGCCAACGGUGGCUGUUUGCCGGCACCUCUGUAUGUGCAUAUGUAUAUAUAUGUGUGUGUGAAUAUCCAUCUCUCCUCAUGGUGACUAUGCCUCGCAUACACCUGGGCAACACCGCUGCGACGACAGAGUUUGCAUCUGCAUGGGCGGCCACGUUUAUGCGUGCGUGCCUGUGUGGCUUCGUGCAGCCGGUGGAGCCGCAGGUCAAGCUGGAAAGAGGGGGUCAUCGAGAAGGCUGGAGGGGCGAUGGAAGUGUCACACUCGGAGCAACAGCAGAACCGGCGGCCGCCGUGGAGCAGGUGAGCGAAGAGAUGGAGAGGCUGGGCUAAAGCGAGUGGUAGGAAGGCCCCUGUGUCCGCUAGCGAUGACGUGCACGGGUGUCGUGCCUUCCUCUGUGGAGGCCGGCAGUGCUAUGUGUCUCCCAAUAUCUGGCCCUCUCUGAGCACUCUUCGGGCCUCUGCGCCGUUGUCACGGCGUGGUAGCUAUGCCACAGGCACGGCCGGCAACGGCAGAGAGACAGAGAGAGAGAGACGAACGCAUAUGCAUCCCCGUGCACGCAUCUGCUUUUCAUGCAUACCCUAUCGUCUAUUUUUUUUUCUCAUCAGAACUCAUCGGCAUGCGUUGAUGCGUGUCCUCUAACGCCGUAAAACAAAUGCCCCCCCCCCACACACACACGCACACCCUUAUCUCUCUCUCCCCUCCCUCCUCACGUGUACGCGUAUGUGUGCACGUGUGUGCGGAGGAGGGAGAGAGGGGGGGCUCUUCCGCGCUGUUGCCUUUGCCUGCUUUCUGUUGUUGUACUCGUCUUUGUUCUCGUCUGGCCUCCGCGCGUGUGCGCGUGAUGUCUGAAACGGCGUUUUGUUUUGUUUUGUGUGUGUGUGUUGGUGUUGGUGUCCGUGCCGGCGCACCAGCACGCUGCCUUCCUGCGUCUGUCCAUCUCUCGCCUCUUCGUUAGUGGCCCUGUGCUGGCGUAGCUUCUCCUCCUCUCUCGUGGAUGGAUGGAUGGAUGGCGAUUGGAGGCGGUGAUGAUUUUGUUUGUGUAUUUUCUUGCUUGGAUGGGUUGGGUCAGUUCAGGACACCAACGAAGGGAACGGGAAAAAAAAACGAAACGAGCAAGUGGCAACUAGCGAGUCUUCUAGCGAAGCGCUCGAGCAAGCGGUAGAGAGGUGGAGGCCGCUUACUCCUCCGCCGACCAUAUUUGUGAAGGGUUGCGAGUGCCCUGGAGCCGCACGCAUACGCAUGACUUGCUCGAAAUCUUGCUGUCUGUGGCGGAGUCUGUGCGUUUCACGGAAGCCGUGGAGGCGAAGUGCAGGAGAGCUGGUAGCUCGAAAGAAACACACACACACACACGGCCUCCCACCUCUGCUGCUGCUGACCUCUCUCCAUCCGUCUCUCUCUAGCUCUUGUGCACACCUCUCCUCCCGUUUCUCUGCCCUUGUCUACGUUGCGUGUACCUGUGUGUUUGUCUGCCGCAUCGCAAUGCAUGCCGAGAAG